ACUCGAGUACGGCAGAGGGAGGUGGAAUUCCGCGUGUAGCAGUGAAAUGCGUAGAUAUGCGGAGGAACACCGAUGGCGAAGGCAGCCUCCUGGGCCAGUACUGACGCUCAUGCACGAAAGCGUGGGGAGCAAACAGGAUUAGAUACCCCUGGUAGUCCACGCCCUAAACGAUGUCAACUAGUUGUUCGGUGAGGAGACUCAUUGAGUAACGCAGCUAACGCGUGAAGUUGACCGCCUGGGGAGUACGGCCGCAAGGUUAAAACUCAAAGGAAUUGACGGGGACCCGCACAAGCGGUGGAUGAUGUGGAUUAAUUCGAUGCAACGCGAAAAACCUUACCUACCCUUGACAUGCCAGGAAGUUUCCAGAGAUGGAUUCGUGCUCGAAAGAGAGCCUGGACACAGGUGCUGCAUGGCUGUCGUCAGCUCGUGUCGUGAGAUGUUGGGUUAAGUCCCGCAACGAGCGCAACCCUUGUCAUUAGUUGCCAGCAUUCAGUU
rnacentral:rRNA from 1 species